rnacentral:rRNA from 1 species
UACGUAGGGUGCGAGCGUUGUCCGGAAUUAUUGGGCGUAAAGAGCUCGUAGGCGGUGUGUCGCGUCGGCCGUGAAAACCUGCAGCUUAACUGUGGGCUUGCGGUCGAUACGGGCAUCACUGGAGUUCGGCAGGGGAGACUGGAAUUCCUGGUGUAGCGGUGAAAUGCGCAGAUAUCAGGAGGAACACCGGUGGCGAAGGCGGCUAUCUGGACCGACAUUGACGCUGAGGCGCGAAAGCGUGGGGAGCAAACAGG